rnacentral:rRNA from 1 species
CUACGGAGGGUGCAAGCGUUACUCGGAAUCACUGGGCGUAAAGGACGCGUAGGCGGGUUGGCAAGUCAGAUGUGAAAUCCUACAGCUUAACUGUAGAACUGCAUUUGAAACUGCUAACCUAGAGUAUGGGAGGGGGAGAUGGAAUUAGUGGUGUAGGGGUAAAAUCCGUAGAUAUCACUAGGAAUACCGAAAGCGAAGGCGAUCUCCUGGAACAUAACUGACGCUAAGGCGUGAAAGCGUGGGGAGCAAACAGAAUUAGAUACCCUAGUAGUCC